AAAGCGCCUGUAGGUUGUUUAGUAAGUCUGUUGUUAAAGACCAGGGCUUAACCCUGGGAAAGCAAUGGAAACUACUAGACUUGAGUAUGGCAGGGGUAGAGGGAAUUUCUAGUGUAGCGGUGAAAUGCGUAGAUAUUAGAAAGAACACCGGCGGCGAAAGCGCUCUACUGGACCAUUACUGACACUCAGAGGCGAAAGCUAGGGGAGCAAAAGGGAUUAGAUACCCCUGUAGUCCUAGCCGUAAACGAUGGAUACUAGAUGUUGCGCAAUUUGUGCUGUAUCUUAGCUAACGCGUUAAGUAUCCCGCCUGGGGAGUACGCUCGCAAGGGUGAAACUCAAAGGAAUUGACGGGGGCCCGCACAAGCGGUGGAGCAUGUGGUUUAAUUCGAUGCAACGCGAAGAACCUUACCAGGGCUUGACAUACUACAAAUCUUUUCGAAACGAAAGAGUGCCUUCGGGAAUGUAGAUACAGGUGGUGCAUGGCUGUCGUCAGCUCGUGUCGUGAGAUGUUGGGUUAAGUCCCGCAACGAGCGCAACCCUCAUUUUUAGUUGCCAAUUUAUUGGGAUUUCUAGAGAGACUGCCGGUGACAAACCGGAGGAAGGUGAGGAUGACGUCAAGUCAGCAUGCCCCUUAUGCCCUGGGCCACACACGUGCUACAAUGGC
rnacentral:rRNA from 1 species